rnacentral:rRNA from 1 species
CCUACGGGAGGCAGCAGUGGGGAAUAUUGCACAAUGGGCGCAAGCCUGAUGCAGCCAUGCCGCGUGUAUGAAGAAGGCCUUCGGGUUGUAAAGUACUUUCAGCGGGGAGGAAGGGAGUAAAGUUAAUACCUUUGCUCAUUGACGUUACCCGCAGAAGAAGCACCGGCUAACUCCGUGCCAGCAGCCGCGGUAAUACGGAGGGUGCAAGCGUUAAUCGGAAUUACUGGGCGUAAAGCGCACGCAGGCGGUUUGUUAAGUCAGAUGUGAAAUCCCCGGGCUCAACCUGGGAACUGCAUCUGAUACUGGCAAGCUUGAGUCUCGUAGAGGGGGGUUAGAAUUCCAGGUGUAGCGGUGAAAUGCGUAGAGAUCUGGAGGAAUACCGGUGGCGAAGGNGGCCCCCUGGACGAAGACUGACGCUCAGGUGCGAAAGCGUGGGGAGCAAACGAGGAUUAGACUACCCGUGGUAGUCCACGACCGUAAACGAUGUCGACUUGGUAGGUGUGUCCGUCGUAGGCGUGGUCGUCCGGUACGCGUACGCGUUAGUCGACCGCCGUCGGGAGGUACGGCCGCGUAGUUAAACGUUACGAAGUAAGUUAGUUAGGCGUUGAGACGNGCGACGGACGACGACGAGGGAGGAGG